rnacentral:rRNA from 1 species
CCUACGGGGGGCAGCAGUGGGGAAUAUUGGGCAAUGGGCGCAAGCCUUACCCAGCAAUACCGCGUGAGUGAAGAAGGUCUUCGGAUUGUAAAGCUCUUUGAUCAGGGACGAACAGAUGACGGUACCUGAAGAACAAGCCCCGGCUAACUACGUGCCAGCAGCCGCGGUAAUACGUAGGGGGCAAGCGUUAUCCGGAUUUACUGGGUGUAAAGGGAGCGUAGACGGCAGUGCAAGUCCGGAGUGAAAGCCCGGGGCUCAACCCUGGGACUGCUCUGGAAACUGUAAAGCUGGAGUGCGGGAGGGGC